AGGAUUGCCUGAAUUUGUAGAACCUGGAACUCCAAGUGCACUGAGAUCAAGAGGCUGUGUGGAGAUUGGCAUCUGAGAAGCCUGACUUGCAGACUGUGGUAGGACAGCAGCCUGACCCAUGGAUUGUGGCAUGCCAGCAGCCUGACCCAUGGAUUGAGCUGGGACAGUAGCCUGACCCAUGGGUUGUGGCAGGCCAGCAGCCUGACCCAUGGCUUGUGGUGGGACACCACCAUCUGGCAGUCCAAUGGAUUCCAGAGGAAUAACAGGUUGUUGAGUGGCU
rnacentral:lncRNA from 1 species